CGAAUGGGGAAACCCAGUGUGACUCGUCACACUAUCAUUAACUGAAUCCAUAGGUUAAUGAGGCGAACCGGGGGAACUGAAACAUCUAAGUACCCCGAGGAAAAGAAAUCAACCGAGAUUCCCCCAGUAGCGGCGAGCGAACGGGGAGGAGCCCAGAGCCUGAAUCAGCAUGUGUGUUAGUGGAAGCGUCUGGAAAGGCGCGCGAUACAGGGUGACAGCCCCGUACACAAAAGCGCAUGUGCUGUGAGCUCGAUGAGUAGGGCGGGACACGUGGUAUCCUGUCUGAAUAUGGGGGGACCAUCCUCCAAGGCUAAAUACUCCUGACUGACCGAUAGUGAACCAGUACCGUGAGGGAAAGGCGAAAAGAACCCCGGCGAGGGGAGUGAAAAAGAACCUGAAACCGUGUACGUACAAGCAGUGGGAGCACAGGUUUACCUGUGUGACUGCGUACCUUUUGUAUAAUGGGUCAGCGACUUAUAUUCUGUAGCAAGGUUAACCG
rnacentral:rRNA from 1 species